rnacentral:rRNA from 1 species
CCUGCCAGUGACCUAGUUUACGGCCGCGGUACCCUAACCGCGCGAAGGUAGCAUAAUCACUUGUUCUUUAAUUGAGGACUUGUAUCAACGGCACCACGAGGGUUUUACUGUCUCCUCCCCCCAAUCAGUGAAACUAAUCUCCCCGUGAAGAAGCGGGGAUGAACCUAUAAGACGAGAAGACCCCAUGGAGCUUUAAACUAAAUUACAAUCCAACUUGCACACACCCACAUAUCUAGGUGGAUCCUGUACAUUCAGCUUUAGGUUGGGGUGACCGCGGAGUACAAAUUAACCUCCACGAUAAACGAAUACUUUUCUUAUCUAAGAAUCACACUUCUAAGAAUUAGUACACUAAUAUAAAAUGAUCCGAUAAUCGAUCAACGGACCAAGUUACCCUGGGGAUAACAGCGCAAUCCAUUUUAAGAGCCCCUAUCGACAAAUGGGUUUACGACCUCGAUGUUGGAUCAGGAUAUCCUAGUGGUGCAGCAGCUACUGAAGGUUCGUUUGUUCAACGAUUAAAAUCCUACGUGAUCUGAGUUCAGACCGGA